CCCUGGCAGAUUUUUGAUGAUUGAUCUUUACUGAAAACAAAUUCAUAAACAAGACAACAAAUCAAAAGCUUAUUUUAUUAUAUUAAUAGAUUUUUUCUUGUUACAGAUUUGAAAAGUCCACAUACAGGCAGAAUGGCACCACACACAAAACAACAUGAAAAGUUUGGCUGUGUAAAAUAUUUGUGCAAGAAACCCAAAAGGAAUUACUCAAGUGCAGCCAACCUAUUUAAUUUGAAAUGGAAUCAAACCAGAAUUAAACACCAUGCAUGGACCAGAACUCUCAUUCUUUGGACUAAUCAUCAAUCUGGAAUUAACACUCGUUUAGAAUGGCUAAGAUAAAGGAGCAAAUCUUUGCUAAGGUUAGUACAAAAACAAAACUUAUUGAAUACCUAAGUUUUGAAAUGAUGGUAACAAGCAUAUAUCUUAUCCUUUUGAUGAAAACUAUUUUAACUGAUCAUACAAAAUAUUGUAUCAAAAUUGUAAUAGUGUGUGUCAGCCUCUUACUUAAUGUUUUGUCAUUUUUUUAGGUGCCAAACUGACUGCAAUAGAAAAAACUAAUUUUGAAGAAGGAGAACUAACAUAAAGAUGUGCAAUGUGGCCACCAUAGCAGCUUUUGAAGAUGCAGGUGAAACUCCCACUGAUACAAUCUGGCAGAAAUGAAUAAACUUGUGUGGCUGUUUACUUAUUAAAGAUUUCGGAACUUGCAAAAAGGCAAAGAACAAAUCUUCAAAGAAUAAGAUUUGCAGUAGUCAACAUGGAGUCACAUGGGAACAACUCAAAUCUCAAUCCUAUCGAACAUAUUUGGGUUGAACUUAAAGGCAUAUGAGCAUGAAGUCCAGCUCACACACAUCAAGAGUGGAACUAUACCACAAGAAUUCAUAAUUAAGUUAAUACAGUGCAUGAAAACCGUUUAAGAACUGUAAUUAAAGCUAAAGGGAUAAGAUUAAUAAACAUGUUAUCGAAAAUUUC